UACGGAGGGUGCAAACGUUGCUCGGAAUCAUUGGGCGUAAAGCGCACGUAGGCGGUCCGUUAUGUCGGGUGUGAAAGCCCUCGGCUUAACCGAGGAAGUGCAUUCGAAACUGGCGGACUUGAGUACCGGAGAGGGUCGCGGAAUUCCCGGUGUAGAGGUGAAAUUCGUAGAUAUCGAGAGGAACACCAGUGGCGAAGGCGAGUCUCUGGACGACUCCUGACACUGAGGCACGAAAGCUAGGGGAGCAAACAGG
rnacentral:rRNA from 1 species